ACGGGGGAUGCCUAGGGUCUCAGAGGCGACGAAGGACGCGAUAAGCUGCGAUAAGGCUGGGGGAGAGGCACAUGCUCGUUAUAUCCCAGCAUUUCCGAAUGGGGCAACCCCCUGACUGGAAGAGUCAGGAGCCGACCAGCUUGACUGGCGGCGGCAAACGCAGGGAACUGAAACAUCUAAGUACCUGCAGGAAAAGAAAAUAACAAUGAUUCCCCAAGUAGUGGCGAGCGAACGGGGAGGAGCCCAAACCGGGUUGGUUACGGCCAAUCCGGGGUUGUAGGACCACGACAUCUGAUUGAAUCGAGUUAGCUGAACUGCUUGGGAAAGCAGGCCAUAGACGGUGAGAGCCCGGUAAGCGACAAUUCUGAUUCACGGUAGUGGUAUCCUGAGUAGGGCGGGGCCGGAGAAACCCCGUCUGAAUCGAGCGGCACCAUCCGCUAAGGCUACAUACUCCUGAGACACCGAUAGUGAACUAGUACCGUGAGGGAAAGGUGAAAAGAACCGGG
rnacentral:rRNA from 1 species